rnacentral:snoRNA from 1 species
CGGUGGUGAUGUCCAGUCUCACGAUGGUCUGCAGAGCCCUGGCUGCGCGGGGGCUGCUGACAGCGCCAACGGCACCUGCUGAACCGCGGCG